rnacentral:sRNA from 1 species
AUUAUUGCUAGGUAUAC